rnacentral:rRNA from 1 species
UACGAAGGGGGCUAGCGUUGCUCGGAAUCACUGGGCGUAAAGCGCACGUAGGCGGGUUCUUAAGUCAGGGGUGAAAUCCUGGAGCUCAACUCCAGAACUGCCUUUGAUACUGGGAAUCUCGAGUCCGGGAGAGGUGAGUGGAACUGCGAGUGUAGAGGUGAAAUUCGUAGAUAUUCGCAAGAACACCAAUGGCGAAGGCGGCUCACUGGCCCGGUACUGACGCUGAGGUGCGAAAGCGUGGGGAGCAAAGCA